rnacentral:rRNA from 2 species
UACGUAGGGGGCAAGCGUUGUCCGGAUUUAUUGGGCGUAAAGAGCGUGUAGGCGGCUAGGUAGGUCCGUUGUGAAAACUCGAGGCUCAACCUCGAGACGUCGAUGGAAACCAUCUGGCUAGAGUCCGGAAGAGGAGAGUGGAAUUCCUGGUGUAGCGGUGAAAUGCGCAGAUAUCAGGAAGAACACCCGUGGCGAAGGCGGCUCUCUGGGACGUGACUGACGCUGAGACGCGAAAGCGUGGGGAGCGAACAGG